UACGUAGGUGGCGAGCGUUGUCCGGAUUUACUGGGUGUAAAGGGCGUGUAGGCGGGCUGAUAAGUUGGGUGUGAAAUACCACGGCUCAACCGUGGGGCUGCACCCAAAACUGUCAGUCUUGAGUGUCGGAGAGGUAAGCGGAAUUCCUAGUGUAGCGGUGAAAUGCGUAGAUAUUAGGAGGAACACCAGUGGCGAAGGCGGCUUACUGGAAGGCAACUGACGCUGAGGCGCGAAAGCGUGGGGAGCAAAC
rnacentral:rRNA from 1 species